rnacentral:lncRNA from 1 species
CUGGAUCCAUAACUCUCUGGAGAGGAGGAGGAGGAGAAAGUGAGCUUUCUGGUGAAUACCCACUUGUUUCUUGGCCUGUGGAAUGAUCCAGGCUCAUAACUACUUCAGAGCUGUCACUUUGAGAAGUAGGUGCCAAUAACGGAGCCUCUGUGUAACCAUUAGUAGAUGGUACAGGAGUUCCAGCUUCUGGUAAGGGCGAAGGUGGUUUGCUUUCUGGCUUUUUCUUUGAUACUACUGACUGCGUUGGAAUCCUGUGCAAAUAGCCAUAUCCAAUACCACAUCCCAAACUGCACAACAGAAGUAAAACAAGACUUGGAAAAAAUCCUUAACAAAGCUGGGAAGCCUUUUAAAUUCUGACUUCUAAAACAAAAAGAGUGCGAGUCCUUAAACCGGAGCAGGAAAAUAGCUACCUGCAAGAAUCCUUUCUGCUACUGACAGAGCACAAGGAAUACUCUGCAAAUGAUAUUUAGGGAGAUGUAGCUCAGCUUUUGGUUAACUAUUUUCUACAUGUUCAUGAAAUACAUGAUCUGACCUGAUUUGCAUUUCGUUCUUGCUUCACCAAAUGCUCAAAUGCUAGCUACACUUUCACACAUCUGCUAGCAAGAAAGUCAGCAGAAGUUUUACCAUCAGUGUCAACUCAAAUAGGAUUAGAUCCAGAACAUGCCUAAUACUUCUCAGCUAUUUCUUUUCUUUAAUGAUGAACAUGUGAGAAGGAAAUAAGCCUUAAAGUGCAAACAACGAGCUGUAAUCAAUGACAAUAUUCUUAACAAGAGCUCAUUUACAGUGAGUGCAUAACCCGUCAUCACCCAGUGGCUGUCCGCAGAUCAGUACCUUCCUUCUCCACCCCAAGCUCCAUUGGGAGUCACAACUACCUCUCGAAUGGAGUCUGCUUCAGUGUUAUAAACCAUCAGCUUCAGCGGCUUUCCCUCAUGGGACUCAAUCAGCGAGAAGAAAUCUUCUGACUAAGAAAAGAAACAAUAGUAGUUAUUAAAUGCAUAAGACAAGGAACUAGAAACAAAUCAGUAUCUGAGGCAUUUACUUCAACAUAUUAAAAACUCAAAGAUGGAGUAAAACUCACUAAUGGGCACUUUAUUUUUUUUUCCU